GAGUUUGAUCCUGGCUCAGAUUGAACGCUGGCGGCAUGCCUUACACAUGCAAGUCGAACGGCAGCACGGACUUCGGUCUGGUGGCGAGUGGCGAACGGGUGAGUAAUAUAUCGGAACAUACCCUAGAGUGGGGGAUAACGUAGCGAAAGUUACGCUAAUACCGCAUACGAACUAAGGUUGAAAGUGGGGGAUCGCAAGACCUCAUGCUCAUGGAGUGGCCGAUAUCUGAUUAGCUAGUUGGUAGGGUAAAAGCCUACCAAGGCGACGAUCAGUAGCUGGUCUGAGAGGACGACCAGCCACACUGGAACUGAGACACGGUCCAGACACCUACGGGUGGCAGCAGUCGAGGAUUUUUCUCAAUGGGGGAAACCCUGAAGGAGCGACGCCGCGUGAGGGAUGAAGGUCUUCGGAUUGUAAACCUCUGUCAUCUGGGAACAAUGUGAUCUACCUAACACGUGGAUUAUUGAUAGUACCGGAAGAGGAAGCACCGGCUAACUACGUGCCAGCAGCCGCGGUAAUACGUAGGGUGCGAGCGUUAAUCGGAAUUACUGGGCGUUAAGCGUGCGCAGGCGGUUCCGUAAGACAGAUGUGAAAUUCCCCGGGCUUAACCUGGGAACUGCAUUUGUGACUGCGAGACUAGAGUGUAGCAGAAGGGGGUAGAAAUUCCACGUGUAGCAGUGAAAUGCGUAGAUAUGGGGAGGAAUACCGAUGGCGAAGGCAGCCCCCCUGGGCUAACACUGACGCUCAUGCACGAAAGCGUGGGGGAGCAAACAGGAUUAGAUACCCUGGUAGUCCACGCCUUAAACGAUGUCAACUAGGUGUUGGGGGAAGGAGACUUUCUUUAGUACCGCAGCUAACGCGCUAAGUUGACCGCCUGGGGAGUACGGCCGCAAGGUUAAAACUCAAAGGAAUUGACGGGGGCCCGCACAAGCGGUGGAGCAUGUGGUUUAAUUCGAUGCAACGCGAAGAACCUUACCUACCCUUGACAUGUCAGGGAUUUUGCAGAGAUGUAGAAGUGCCGAAAGGAGCCUGAACACAGGUGCUGCAUGGCUGUCGUCAGCUCGUGCCGUGAGAUGUUGGGUUAAGUCCCGUAACGAGCGCAACCCCUGUUCCUAGUUACCAACACGUAAAGGUGGGGACUUUAGGAAGACUGCCGGUGUUAAGCUGGAGGAAGGUGGGGAUGAUGUCAAGUCAUCAUGGCCUUUAUGGGUAGGGCUACACACGUGCUACAAUGGGAGAUACAAAGGGAAGCAAAGCCGCGAGGUGGAGCGGAACUCAAAAAGUCUUUCGUAGUCCGGAUUAGAGUCUGCAACUCGACUCUAUGAAGUUGGAAUCGCUAGUAAUCGCAAAUCAGAAUGUUGCGGUGAAUACGUUCCCGGGCCUUGUACACACCGCCCGUCACACCAUGGGAGUGGGUUGUACCAGAAGUAGUUAGCUUAACCGAAAGGGGGGCGAUUACCACGGUAUGGUUCAUGACUGGGGUGAAGUCGUAACAAGGUAACCGUA
rnacentral:rRNA from 1 species